CCUGCACUUUUAAUUCCGCAAUAUUUAUCAAUAUUCUCGUGCCGCACUAUUCACCCCCCUCUAGUGAACGGCAUAAUUCCUAACAGUUGGUAUCAAAGCCAAACUCUCUGAAAGCCUUAACCGGUUGAGAAAAAGAUCUAUAUUUUUGUGUCGAGAAUGUUGAACGCAGGUAUAAUGAGCGAAGGUCACUCUACCAUUUUGCCUCCACUAUUUGA
rnacentral:lncRNA from 1 species